ACAGCAAGCAUGUGAUUUGAGUAUGCUCUAGCUCUUGCAUGAGCUCUGCAUGAGCGGAGUCACCAGAUUUUUUGCCAAAUGGCUCCUUUCAUUUGUUAAUCUUGAUGUCUCCCUCUCCAGGUCCUGGCCUCUUGACACCCCCAGCAGUAGGUUUACAGCUGUUUCCACGCUCAAGCUUCAUUUUUCUAACCCCCCACUCCUUAAUUGGUUUAAAACCUUCAAGAUUUUCUCUCUGUUAAGACAAGAGGUACUUUAUUUUCUCUCUGUUGGGACUUCCCAGCAAGAACAGGGCAGGAAGGGCACCUUAGACCCUUCAUAGAAUUUCACCAUUGACACCAAUGUCUCAGUCAUGAGAAGAUCUGUGAAGAGGAACUUGAGUUUGUGAGGGAAGACCAGUAGGCGUGGUGGCAGGAACUUGAAGCUGAGCACUCACACCUCACAUUGCAAGCAUGAAGCAGUGAGAGCAACUGAAAA